CUGGCACUCCACCUCAUAGAGCUCUUUUUUCAGCCGCUCCACCUCCGCCUGCGAAGCAGCGAGCUGGACCUCAGCAGCUCUCUUUUCCUCUUCUGCCUUGGCAGCUUUGGCCUGGGCAGCUCGCACAGCGUCCCCGUAAUGCAUCGCCUCCUCGAGGCGCUUGGCGAGGUCCUCCCUCUUGGAGUUUAGAUCCUUCACCAAGCCCUCGAGUUGGAUACUUGUGCUUAGUGCC
rnacentral:lncRNA from 1 species